rnacentral:rRNA from 1 species
AACGAACGUUGGCGGCAUGCCUAAUACAUGCAAGUCGAACGAGAUCUUCGGAUCUAGUGGCGCACGGGUGCGUAACGCGUGGGAAUCUGCCCUUGGGUUCGGAAUAACUUCUGGAAACGGAAGCUAAUACCGGAUGAUGACGUAAGUCCAAAGAUUUAUCGCCCAAGGAUGAGCCCGCGUAGGAUUAGGUAGUUGGUGAGGUAAAGGCUCACCAAGCCGACGAUCCUUAGCUGGUCUGAGAGGAUGAUCAGCCACACUGGGACUGAGACACGGCCCAGACUCCUACGGGAGGCAGCAGUAGGGAAUAUUGGACAAUGGGCGAAAGCCUGAUCCAGCAAUGCCGCGUGAGUGAUGAAGGCCUUAGGGUUGUAAAGCUCUUUUACCCGGGAUGAUAAUGACAGUACCGGGAGAAUAAGCUCCGGCUAACUCCGUG